UGUAGAUGGUACAUGAUACUGAGGAAUAUGCUUCAUUUCAGAAAGAUGUAGCCAAAGGAACGAAGUAUGGACACUGGCGUGAGUCUGAAGAGUGGCAGAAUGGAAGACAAUGCAGACACGUGCAUUUGGAGAAAUAAUUUGAAACAAAAAGUGACUUGUUACAACUCCCCAGGACUUAUUUCAGAGAGACUCUCCUUCUGUGCAAGAUGGGAACAAUUGGAAGCUGGGAGUCACUCAGAUGGCAGCUGCAGCUGUGCCUCUGGGAUGUGCUGUAGCCCUUGCUUUAAUCUGUCCUCCUAGAUUUAUUUUUGAUCCUCAGCGGACACUGAAAUGCUACAGAAGAAAGAAGAAAGCAAUUCUGAGCCUGAGUCGUCCAUUUGUUCUCAUUAUAGAGAAGAAACUGGUCUUGUACCUUGUGAAAGGUGCAGGCAGGAUGUGAACAAGGGAUGCAAACAAAGUGCUGGGAACCUGAAAUCAUCAGCCUGACAUGGACAUGCAAUGCAGUUACUUUCUGCUAGGAAGGCUUUUGCACCUGGAUUGACUCUGGUAGAAACCAGACAAAUGUGAUGUAUCCUCCCUCCCACAGUAACCUCUGUUAACAGGCUUUGUGUAGCACCGAGCAGGUGGAGGUAAUCAGAGAAACCAAAGUGAGAGAUUUUACAUUAAACUCAACUGAUUUGUGCAAAACAAGAAGAAAUUGGCUGUUUUUUCCUUUUGGAAGGGACUUCUGGAGAUCAUCUAGUCCAACCCACCUGCUAAAGCAGGUUAACCUAGAGCAGAUCACACCAGAAUGUGCCCAGGCAGGUUUUGAAUGUCUCCAGAGAAGGAGACUGCACGACCUCUCUGGGCAGCCUCUUCAGUGUUCUGGCACCCUCCAAGUAAAGAAGUUUCUCCUCAUGUUUAGAAGGGACCUCCUAUGCUUCAGUCUGUACCCAUUGACCCUCAUCCUAACACUGGGCACCACUGAAAAGAGUCUGGUCCCAUCCUCUUGACAGAAAUGAUGGUGCUAUGGCUUGGACUGUCUCACUUUCUCUC